GGGUGAUAUAAACUUGGAGUUACACCUUUUCUAUUUAGAAAAGGGAUCUAAAACAUGUUCAAGUAUGCAGCAUCUUCAUAAACCUCAGCCACUGGGAAAGGGCAACUUCAUGCAACCAAAUAAUAUGAAAAUCAAAACGCAACCCUUAGAAAAAAGGGUAAAAUGUCAUUUCUGCAAACACAACAGAUAGGAAUGUGAAUAAUGUGCAUACAAACUGGGAUGCUGUUGAUGAUACUAAUGAACAGAUGUGAUGACUCAUAUCAAAUCCAAGAAUAUUAGACAACCAAACAUGUAACCUUCUUGUGUUUUCCCUUAAUAUUCAGCAGUCAUUAUGUUGGUUAAGUCCCUUCACUGGUUUUCUGCAAGUCUGAAGAAGUGUUUCUUGUGUCAUUGCCUGCGUCCCCAGCAUCAGAGCUGCUCUUAUUUUCUUCCUCUUUGCAGUCCUUAUCAUCUUCAUCUCCAGGAGAUUUCCGUGACUGCUUGGAGGAUUUCUUUGAAGUGUAGGAUUUUUUUCGUUUUGAGCCUGCUUUUUCGUUCUUUCUUUUGCCUUUUCCAUCCUCUUCUACCCGAUCACCUUCCUCCUCGCUGCUGGCAUCUGCUGUAUUUCCUCCUUCUCCCUCAGUUUCUGAUGAGCUCUGUUGCUGAAUUGCCUGAUAUCCAGUAAACUUUACUCCAGGGUUGUUUUCUAUUUCCCACAGGCCUUCAUUAAAUCCUUUUCGUUUGUUCGACUUCCCAAACUUAUCUUUGUAUUCUUUAUACGGGAAAAGGUCUUUGGGCCCCAGGAACGCAGUUUCGUGAGUCCCAAAAAAGAAGAUGGGGUAUUUAUUUGCUGGAGGCUUCACGGCUCCUUCAGGGAGUUCAUCAAUCCGGGCCGGCCAGUGCGGGUACCCCUUCAUUUUGGCGAACACCAGGUCUCCAGCCUUGUAUUCUCGGGGCCGCGGACGAGCCAUCGGGAGCCGCCGCGGGAGCCGCCGUCCCCCCCUCCCUCCCUCCCUCCCUCCCACACCCCCCGCGCCCCGCACACGCCGCCCGGGGGCAGCCGGCCGAGCCCCCGCGGGGUGCGAUGCGGCGGGGCGCAGCCGGGAGCGGGGCCGGGCCGCGGGCAAUCCCCGAGCUCUCCGGCGGCGGCGGCGGCAGGAGGAGAUGGGGUGUGUGUGUGAGUGUGAGUGUGUGUGUGUGUGUGUGUGUGUGUGUGUGUGUGUGAGUGUGUACGCGGGGGAGGGGGAGGCCUUGGACACAACCCAGCAGCCCCCGGUACAGGGAGCCGGCUGGCGGCGGGGCGCCUGGCCGGGCGGGGGCGGCCGGGGAGCCCUCACCCCGCGGCGGCGGGCGGGCGCGGCGCUGCCCGCGGCCCCCCCGUGCGAGCUGCUACGCCGCCCGCUCCAUCCCCGCCGCAGCCGCCGCGGCCCCGGGAAUAUGGAGCCGUCUCCUCCGAAUUACUCCUCGGGCAGCGACCGAAAACAGGAUCUUCUUAUCCCCCCCCCACCCCUCCCCUCCGCGCUUCGCCUUCCUGUUAUUUUAUAGGUACACAGAUCGGUUUCUAUGAAAAUAGGAGAGCAGAGAGCGGCUCCAGUCCCUCCCGGCCCUUCCUUCCCCUGCUGAAGCAUGACAUGGUUCUUUAUGCGCGCCUGACAUGGAGGCUGGGCGAGGAGCAGCAGCCGCUGCGCCCUGCGGAUCGCUGCAACCGGGUCCCCGGCUCGCCCGGCCGUGCAGCCCCGUCCCCUGGCACCGAGGCCCGGCCUCGUGGGGGGCUCCGUGGGGUGGCUCCGUGGGGUGCCCCCCAGCACACCCUGCAUAUGGUCUCCCCGUUGCCCGCAGACCCCUGGGCCUGCCCCGGCCCCUUCCACACUGCAGAACGCAGCAGGUCCCAGCGCACAGGCCUGCACCCGUGGCACGCUGGUGGGCAUUCCCAUCUCUGUACCCAUCCUCUCUCCACCAACAACCCUUCCAUGUUCCUCAGCACCCUACAACUCAAAAAAAAAAAAAAAAAAAACCACCACCACCACCAACAAAAAAAACAGCACAGCCACAGCAGCAGAAAGACUGGAGCUGCAGUCCACUGAAAUUCACUUGCAUUCACAACAAGGGCUUGGCCUCAGAGAACAGUUGGGACUUGGCUCUUGCCAGAUAAUGCCAGCUUUAGAAGCAUGCACCUCAGUAGAAGGGAAGCACUGAGGUCUCACAAAUUCCAAACCCAGACAUCACCAUUUUUACCAUGAUGAUACCAGUUCAGUUGUAAGGUUCAGAAAUCAAUUGUUAUUGAUGUUCACUGUACUGAAAUGUUGUCAAGGGAAGCACCUGCAACCUGGCUCAUAAGCAGAAAGGUUUUCCCCUGGGCUUGGAUGGAACUAAAGCAUGCAGGAUGGCAGCUGUCCCCUUUGUGUCUGGGGAGAUAGCUGUGUCUGCGUUCCAUGUCCCAAGAAUGGCAUCUGGCAGCAGGCAGAUGGAGUAGGAAAGAUGGGGCUGGAAGCUGUAUGGUCCUAUCUAGGGAAUGAAGCAAGUGGGCCACAGAACUGCCGGUCUGUAAGGGCAGAGAAAGAAGGGAAGCAAACAUUUCUUGUAGCACCUGGUUUGGGGUUGGAACAGGACUAAGAAACCUCUCACUGCUUGUGGUGUCCCCAGGGAUGGUUGUGGUACCCAAACACUGCUGCCAACAGCGCAUAAGUAAAUAAAGUUUGGCACUUUGGGGUUGUAAAAGAGGGCAUGGACUUCUCUGCUGGGGGAAGCAUUACUGUAAAAUCAUUAACUCAGGUAUCAGUACCAGACUAACAAUGGGAAAAAAUACACAAGAAGCUGAAUAAGCACUUAGGUGAUUGCUCUGCCCUCUGUCAAUGCUGUUAUUUCCCUGAGCAAUCCAGAUCUGUGGCAGUUGCCAACACAGCCACCUUCAGUGUAAACAUGUGGGCUAACAGCCCACUUUCACUUUCACAUCAGAUAGGACUGUGCAUCCUUUUACAUUUAUACCUCAUUUCAGUUUGAAAUCCCUUCCGAACAAAAGUCACACAAAAUCUCUGACCACAGCAGUUGAGGACUCUGAUCUGAGUCUGAAAUAAUUCGGACUGCUGUGCCUUAUCUCCAUACUUCUGCUGUCAUCCAAGGCAGCCUUGUUUCCAUAAUACUUAGGAGAAAAGUAGAGCUGAUUUAUUUAUUUUUUCCUAUCUACACGAUUUGCUUUUCAUUUAGAGGUACUAACAGCUCUUUCUAGCAGCUUAUUUAAUGACCUUAAAUCACAAAUGAGCAGGAUAUGUGCCUAUUUCUUCUAAAAGGAAACUGUAUGGGCUAUAUACAUACACACAUGCGUAUGCAUAUACCUAUGAUAAAUGUAUUGCUAGUUAGAACAGCAAAUUCAAAAUGACUCGAUACUGAACUGAAAUUUCUCAUCAAAACAUUCUCUUUUUAUUUUAAACUUUCAUUCAUCCCAACACUGGUGUCUGUGGAGGAUGCAGUGAAUAACAAUAUUUCUAUUCUGCAGUAUUAGAACUCUAAAGGAAACUCAUCCCAUGGACAUGCAGGGACACAGCUCUCUUUAUCUCUUGCAUAUCAGAUGCAGUGGAUAUGAGUUGCCAAGGUAAGAUUUCAAGGCAAGAACUCUGCUCAGCUUUUACCAGCUGAAAAGUCUUAAAUAUGCUUUGCGAACAGUCCCACCAUCAAGCUGUAGUUAAUAUGCUGAGAAAGGAUGAGAAGCUGCAAAUUUCACUGCUGGUAAAUGAGAAAAGAAAUCAAAUGCUCCACACGUUAACAGCAUGGAAAAUGACCUCAGCAGAAACAAGAAAUGAGUUUCUUAGUGUGCAUAACUCCAUCAGCCACUGAUUACAGCAGACAAAACACGAGACCUGCACGGGGCCUGUUCUGCCAUGUCGCCUGCAAUCUGUCUCCCUCUGAAUGGGACAUUAUCCACCCUUUCCACACAGAAGUGGGAAAGAGAAAUCUGCUUGCCAUCCUCCUGGCCAGGUGUUAUGUUUCCUGAGCAGGACGAUAUGUACAAGUAGGGGAAUGAGCAGGGACAGGGAGUAAAGGCAGAGGCCCCGCAGGGCCAUGCAGAGAAGUGGCAUGGCCAGCCGUGCAGCCAUCACUCACUGAGAUGAGUGGUGGCAGAGGGACCUGUCCUGAAGUUGUGGCCACACUGGUGGAUUUUGCUUUCCCAGGGAUUCCCAGGGAACAGUAUUCUUAAGCUAUGGAGAAGCUUUAAGCCAGUCCUGAUUAUUGCCCGCUGUUCACAUGAGGAGAAAAAUAGCUACGUAACUGGUUGAACAUUCUCACAGGGAACGAAUUCCAUUGAUGGAACGGAGUGUGGAUCAAUCCUUAAGAAAAGUGCACGUGGACAUAAAAGGCCGCCUAAUUUCAAAAGCACCCUCCAAAGUUAUGAUUAAAUUUUUAAACACACGUAAGUUUUGCAUGGAGCACUCCAUGAUCGCGGUUUUACACGCCGUUAUUGGACAUCUGUAUGCCGCCUUCUCUACAGACUUUAUUCAUAUUGCAGUCUUACACUUGCUGCUUUGUGACAUGCUGCUUAUAUAAAGGUACAAAAAUUAUUAUAUUAUAUUGCCUCUGAAAUUCUGUCUCUGGUCAUCUUAUAGCUUUUGCUUUCCCCACUCAAAUCCCUUCUAAGAUCAGCCUAUAGAUGUUCUGCAGCAUGGCCAUGUGUAUAAUGACUGUACUAUAAGAUACCGAAAAAAACCUUCCUUUUACUUGUGUAUCAGUAGCUGAUACAAUUUCCUUUCCUUCUGCAUCUCUUUUUCCUGUAUCUAGAAAUGUGUUAGUGAUGAUCACAAUGAUCAGUAAUUUGCUUAUGUCCACAGUAAGCUAGCCUUAUCUGUUAAAUAUUUUAAUAGGAAAUUGUUCUGAGUCACUACUGAGCCAUUCCCCUGUGCAACACAUGUCUGAGAGCACUGUCUGCAACCGCUGCACUCCUUCAGGUCAGCAGAAAGAUGCCAUAACGUUGUAUGUCCAUCCCAACAUGCACAGAAAGGCACUUACCGUGCCCAUUAGGAUAUUCUUAAUUACUGGAGAUAAGAAGCUCACCAGGGGAUCUCAAACCUUCUCCUUAAUAAGCUUAGAAGGGGGAAGGAUAUGUAUCAUAGCUGGAGCUGGUUAUAUACACCCAGUUUCAUGAAUCUUCUUAGGUUACACACUGGAGCAAUCUCCUAAUCAUAUUAAGUUAGACCAUCUUCAAGGUGAUGGCUUUACAUGUUGCAGAAGUGUGAACGUGUAUCCCAGAGGCUGAAAAGAUUGGAGUACUUCGGUGAAAAUUACCUUCCUGUGUGGCUGGGAGCCUUCUGUUGUUAACUGGAAAGAUUGGUAGGGGACGGAAAUGUUAUUAGCAAGUAUGCACUGCCUCCAUUCCUUGUUCUAUAUUCUGUACUGUGGCUAAAGCUACAGGAGAUAAUAGAUACCUACAGUUAGUGCUGCUUAGCGAUUUCCAGUUCAAACCUUUGCUUUCAGUUGCUUGUAUGUUUUUCAUAAUGUAACCACGAGAACUGAAGUUUUCCAUGAUCAUUGUGCAGCUAAUAAAAAAAACUCCGACAAGUUCUUGACAAUGAUGGUAGAAGAAAUAACUGUAAAAUUACCAAAUUGCCAGGUGCCUUUUGCUGUCCUAAGGGUAUCCAUAGGAAUGUAGCCAAGUUGCAAGACUGCGAGAAGCAUUUGUAUGCACCCAAUAGGGGCUGAUAAACAAGUCUCAGAUGUUCUGUCAGGACUAAACGUGCUCUUAAGCUAAAGUGAAUGUGAUUCAGCUCAGGAGUGGAGACGGCUGUGGAAGCAGUGCUCGUGGAAGGAAAAGAUGGCUGUUUCCCUACUAGUACCCAGACAAUACACCAGGACGGAGUGACCAAUCUAUGCAGAGAGAGAACUGGGAAGAGCUGAAAGGGGAGCAGGGAACAGCUAAAGUCUGGGAAGGUCAUGGGAAAAGCAGUGAGGGAUCAGGUGAUAGGCAAAAGCAGCCACAAGUGGAACAACACAAAGAUUUUGGAACGUCUUAGAAUAUAUAAAAAAGUCCACAUGUAUUCUAACAAAAUUUUGUGGUCCAGUGCGUUUCAUGCUCUGCCUCUAAGUUCUCCAUACAGAGAUAAUGAUCUAUGACUGUGCUGCCAGUAACCCAUCAACUCAAAAGGAAGUCUUGACACUGCAUUCAAAAGCGUCAGACUCUAUGACCUUCUAGAGUCUCUAAAUGAGAAUCAGCCCAAGCUUUUCUAUGGGGGUGAUAACACACAAGCCCAGAAAGAGAUUAUUAAAGAUUGUGUCACAAACCACCCAAGAAGAGAGAAGAAUUGAAGUUGCAUCAGCAACCCGGGCCUGUGUAUUUCCCAACAUUUGACUACCUGAGUAUGCAACUUCCUUGUUCUUUGAAUUUUGUUUUGGGUCAUGUUACAAAAUUUGGCAGCUGUUUGUUGAGAAGCACUCAUCAAAAUUCAGUACUUCCACUAAUAUUCAACAAAUGUAUUUUAUUGAAUAAACUAACACUCAAAAAACAGUAUCAAGGUUAUUGCGUUGGACAGAAGUUGCACAGUCUCCUUACACUUUGUUGUUCCUAUACCUUAAAGAAUUUGGUAGAGAUGUCAUUCAUUACAAUGAAAUUAAUGUAUUUUAAUCUUCAUUUGAUAUACUAAUCUAUAAAAUGCCUUCUAGAAAGUCUGGGUGACAAGCACCAUCUCUAGAGCCAUAAAGCCAUAAUACCUAGGAAGGAAAACCUGCAACUGACAUUUUUCCUCUGGAGACAUAUUUUAAAUGUGUCAUCUAAAGCCCUCAAAAUUUAUUGGGUGAGAAAUAUGUUGAGAAUUGGCAGGAAUAAUAAAUUUAGUGGCAGACUCAUGACACUUAUCCCACUGUAGUUUCCCCUCAUAAAUACUGGAGAAAAGGAUUUCUCUCACAUACCCUUCGGUACAUUCAUCAAAGUGCCUUUUGGAUCAUGCCUUAAUGAAUAAUUACAUUCCAACAUGGACAGCAGAACAUAUUGACUUAAGGAGCUUUGUAACUUUACUUUUAUGUCAACUGAAUGACAGUUCCAGAAAGUGGGGAACAGAAGGAAAUAAUGUGACUUGCAUGUCACCUCUCGAGAUUGUCACUGUUUUGUAUCAAACGUUCCCUCUCAGGAGUAGGUUUGAUGUUGGGAUUUACUCUGGAAUUCACUUGGGUUAAAGAACCUAAGCUUUGAAACUUAUGUUGUAAUGCAGUGUGAUGCAUAGAUACUAUCAUGAGAAAAGUAGUGUAUUAAUUAAUAAUUCUGUCAGAUGUUUCUUCCUAGAUAGCUUGGCAUUGACAUGAGUUUAACAGAAUCCACACUGAGCUACUGGAAUGUCCUCCCAACUCUGCGGAAAUUAGGAUAAAAACUCUUAGUGAGUUUCCCAUGAUGUUACAUCUCAAACUUGUUUUACAUCAUCGUUCUCUGUUCUCAUGGCCAACAUCACCAACCUCUUGUUGACUCAGAUCUAUAAAAUGGGCCUUAUCCUCAGAUCUCUCCACCUCUUUUACCUCAGUUGCUUCCAAAUCUUACUUUGUAUUUAUCUAUGAUAUUUUUUCUUCUCCAUGAGUGCACUUUUCUCCAAGUAUCACUGCUCUGUGUUCUUUUUUGUCCUCUCCUGCUCUUGUUCCCUCUCCAAUCCACACAGAGCAGUGUUCUGCUCUGUGUUCUACACACUGGCUUUACUGGAUCAAGCAUCUUACUGCUUCUUUCUCACCUUCCCACCCUUGUUCCCCUGAGACCUGCUGCCUCAUCCCCCCAGGAUGGUACUAGUGCUCCAGGGGGCUUAGGGUUAAAGACUACAAAAUUAGUGAGGCUGAAGGUAGUCCUCAGAGGCUGUGUGACUGGUGAUACUGAGAGUGAAGACCAUGAGGACCGUCUUCAGUGAUGGAUGCCAGGGUGGGAAUGGACAUAAGGAAAGUCUUGGGCCAGUUUGUGUGGAUUACACUGCACCUGGGGGACUGUAGAGGAAGAAAGCCAUCACUGGCCAGGCAGAAAACACGGCGAAUUAUUUUUUCUCACUUCCUGAGUCCCAUUGAAGGGCUUGGCUCCUUGGGCAGCCACUCCUUUCCUCUCUGGGGCAUGAAAGGGAGCUGGAAGGGAGAGACUGAAGCUGCUGAUCCUACCACCACACUUGGUCUGAAACAUUAUCGCUUAAGCCUUCUGGUGUACUCUGAAAGAUCAGCACACCACCUUGAGCAACACAAGAACUGCUUCCAGCUGGCUCCCAUGAGAACUCCUGGAAAGCACAUUUCUUCACACAUUCCAUAUCCCCACUGCCUCCAGAUCAUGUUUCUUGCAGUGGCCUGCAAGGCUGCCCCUUCCUACCUACAUCUCGUCAUGUGGCAGCCACAUGUUGAUUGUUUCCCUGUUAGCCAUGCCAAACCUAAUAUCCUGCUCACCUAUUUGUCCCUCAGAGAUGUCCAGCCUAUGCUCCCUGCUUGUGACAUGUCCUUCUCACGCUGCUUCUCAAGAAUCAUAACCUCAGUCUUUUGAAUUCCUUUCCCCAAACUCCAUCCUUCUUGGACACUCAGGACAACUGAUUAAGUUUACCACCUUUCUAAUGAGGGAGAGUUAGUGUAGGAAUGUAAAGAGCCUGGAACUGAAAUGGUAUAUAGGAUGAGAAGAAAAGGUCAUGGGUAAGAAAAAAGGAAGUUUGCAUGCUUAAUGACAAUUAAGAUUCUAGCUUGUAAUUGAGAUGACUUUGCCCAGCAUUUCAGCAAUCCCUUUGUUGUAUAAUGUAUCCCUUUCCCCAUGGUCUGACUUUGUUUUCUUCAACGCUGCCCUCUUCAAAGAAGGCACAGUUUUCUUCUUCUGAGUUUGGAAAGUUAUGUGUUUAUAAAUAAUAAAUAGAAUAAUAAUAAAUCAGGGCUACUGCACUUGCUAGCAAACAGCCAAUAUGCACCAGGUCUCUUUGAAGUCAAAGGGGCUGUUUCUGCUGCUCUUUAUGCCACUUUCUCUACUUUGGAUACAAUGAAGUUGAUCCUGUUUCAUAUCACUGAGAAAUGACUUGCUAAAAUGUAAAAUCUCAAUAAGCUGCAAACAUAAUAGAAAUACUACUAAAUGAUAAAUACACAUCCUAACAGAAUUACGGAGAAAAUAUUAUCAGACAAGAAAUUCAUCUGUUUCUUAAGAAGACAAUAUUUAUCUCUAAUUGCAACAUAAUGACCUGGUGAGGAAAUGGCAUGCUUCUGUAUACUUGUUUGUUUUCUUCUUUAGCUUUCACUUUUUUUUUAUGUGGAUGCUAUCUUAUUGAACAGAAAUACCAGUUCAAACCUCACCACUGUAGUUCAUAGAACUACAGUGUUUCAGAAUAAACAGAAAAAUGAUAUCCAUCUUCACUGAGUAGCAGCAAGGGGCUUAGUAUAUUGCUGGAAGACAAGCAUAAAAUAUUUAGGCUGGUUAGUAUUAAGAAAGUCAAAGAGAAUAUUAUGAGAUGAAGCAGCCAAACAGAAUUGGCAAUGAUAGUCUUAUAAUGGAAAGGUAUUUAUAGAGUGUUGCUCCCAUUGGACAGGAUGCUGCUGUCUUACUCAGGCAAAUCCCCCACUGAAAAUUUCAAAGGGCAUAUUGUCUGCCUAGAGAUGAGCAGGGACUUGGGGACUGAAAGUAAUACACGAAACUUCUGUCCAUUCAUGUCAUGCCUAUAUUAAAAGAUUGUAUUGCAUGGUGGUGCAACUGCAGUUCUCCAACUUCUGGGCUCUGUGUGCUUGCCAUACGGGGCAGAGCUGGCUCUACAGAUGUUAAAGUCAGUCUCUGUUGCCCUGUCUGUGCCCACAGAGAAGAAGUUCAAACGUUGACUUUUUGCUAUCCAGUGAUCAACCGUGAAUUUCUGGAGCGUGGCUAGCAGAGGAAAGGCAAGAAAUGGUACAUGUGGUUAGGCACCACAGACCUUUAAUUUAAACUGUGCUGUUCUGAAAGCCCCAGUUUAAACAGAGAGCUUAGCUCUCUGUUGUUCUAGGACUUAGGUGACAUUUUGUAUCCUGAUAACAGGAGAAAAUCCACUCUGCCAUACAUUUCUGGGUCUCAGGCAGCAAUGGCAUGAAAUGGCAGCGGGCUGCAGUGUGUUUCCCCACACAAUGUUCUCCCCUCCCCGCUGCCAGCCUUCCAGAAUAGCUUUUACUUCACACUGGUAGCUUAAGGACCUCACAGUACAUUGACUCCAGCAUCCAACACAGAAGAAUUCAUAUAUAAAGAGUUUACCUGGAUAACAGUAAUGUCCAUAUAACAUUAUAAGAAAUGGGAAGAAUCAAGAUUUAGGGCAGUAGUACGAACCAGUAACAGAAAGUUACUCUGUAAUCGAAAAACAUGAGCUGCUUUACAUCUAGUACUGGCUGUAGACUUGGUGCAAACUUUGCUUGCUUCAACAAUGGGAUUCUCAAUGAAGGCAAAAGAUAUUUCCAUUUUGUGUUCAAUUCACAGAGUUAAUAAAGUGACAGUUGGUACACAAAUUAAAGUGAGGACUUCACUUCUCAGUAAAUAUGUCGUUUACAGUCAUAAUCAUUUAAUAAUAAUUGGCUUUGUAACAAAGGCCACUAGGCCAAAUGCUCUUGGUGUAAUUUUGCUGGCAGCAAUACAAGGAACAAUUUGGCUAGGGUGUACCCGGUCCUCUGUGGCAAAAGGCAACAAAAAGAGGCACACUCACACAAUCUUGUCAAGUGUAAAACCGUUCUGCUCAUUUACAGGCUAUUAAUGAAAAACUAGACAAAUACAUUUCUAUUAAACAUUACUCCAUCUAUAUAUAGAGAGAAAUAUAUGUACAGUGGCAUUCAGUGAAAUAUAAACAGAUAAAGCUGGUAUAAACCUUCAGACAUCAAGAGUGUUACAUACACAUUCCUUGAUGUCACUGCAUGUGAACUCAUUCUCUCUCUGGCACACACACAUGAUAAUGAAGCUACUGGUUCCUACUGAUCCUGAGAAUCCCUGAAGGGCUGGGCAGAGGUCCAAAGAGCUGUAUCAUAGCAGGUCAUUCUGCUACAUAUUUGUCUUUUUGACACUAACAUUUGCCAGAAAAUCCAUCAUUGUCAAUGGAGCACCAUCAUGCAACAUGGUAAUAAGAAUGUUUAUGGGCAGUCUCUGUCAGUGUUUUGCAGAGAAGGAAGUAUUAGAGGGAACACAGAUAGUGCUGCACCCUCUUUUUAACUACCUUGCUUUUUUGGACAAAGCUAUGACACUGAUUCACAGUGCCUUUCUUCUGACAGUAACCACUCUGGUUUAGAUUCUUUCUUCCUUUUAUUUUUUUCUUAGUGAAGUGUCCCACAAGCUCCUUUAUUUGAAGGUUGUGCUUAGAAAACCUAAAAAUAAGGCUUGGAACACCUAAAUGCUUGUCUCCAGAUUCAUGGGAUGUAGUUCAUUGCCAGUCACAUCAAAGGCAGCUGCCCCACUACAUAGCAUGCUCAGCUCCAGUCUGCCACUGAAUGGGCAGGAGUAGGGAGCUGCUGCUCCAGUAAGGAGCAGAAGCCACGUCAGAACAUGUACAGCUGUUAUUACUGUAAUCGAUGGGAAUGUGGGUUAUGCUAUGAUGCUCCUGGGGUCUGGAACUUUAUUACUGCUGUCUAUCUGUAUACUGACUGAAUCGCUCUGAUGUCCUACAAAGAACUCCAAAAAAAUAAAUAGCUGAACAAAAUUAAUGUAGUAGACACCUCUGUAAUGACAAAAUUCUAGAGACAAACUCUUACCUGAAAGUACUAAAGAUGAUGUCUCUUGAUGUUGUCGCCAUACAUUUGAAUAUGCCUAUGCAAUGUCAACAGCUGAAUCUCUACUGGAUUCAGUGGAGUUUUCCCUUUCUGGGCUAACAAAUCUGCUGGGGAUGGGUUUGCUUUCAAAAUGCUAAUUUAUUCCAUCUUUACGGCUGAUUCAUCCUUUUGUUUUUUGGUUAGUUGGAAUUCUUCAACUAGGAGGAAGUGUCAAUAUGGUGACAAAACUAGUUUCACUUCUAAUCUGUUAAACCUACAGAAAACCAGUCCUAUACAAUUGCACACACAUAUGCACUCCUGACACGUGGCUCUUGCUAUUUGGAUAGAAUGCUUUUUUAUCUACAUUUUGGUUUUGCACUAAAGUCAGGGAGGCCCAGCUGGGGGCUCCUGCACUAUAUGAAAGGAUACCGCAGGGCUGCUUUAGUGUAAAAGUAAAACCAGAUGACACCAUGGAAAAAGGGCCACUGGCUUGCCAAAACUGCUACAAUUUCAAAAUUCAGCUACACACUUUUUCAUAUUUAUUUUUUGUCAUUAUUUAUAACAUAAAAAUGCCUUUAAAUUGGCCUUCAAAGCAGACUUUCCAAACAACUUUUUCUUCCCAUUGGACUUCUAAUCAUUUAAUUUCUAAUGUGAAAGAAAAAUAAUGUCUUUCUCUAAAAUAAGCUUGUUUUCAGAAAUACAGUAGGUUUCCUACUUUCCUUACAACACAGAUACUGUGCACAACAGGUAAAAAUGCUAAUCAGAACAACACACAUUUUAAAGCAUUCCACAGAUUGCAUUUCCCUUCCAGCUGUAAUGUCAAUUAUUUCAUCAAAUUUGAGUGCAAGUAAACUUGUGCCCAGUGCUUGAGCCUCUAUGAAAUAAUUGAGUGAAAAUGCAGCUUUGUACAUGCUGUCCUGGGCUGGCCAUGUAUUUCUUUAUGAGCAUUGCUUGUGCUGCCUGUUUUUAUCUAAAAUUGUUAAAAUUAUUUUUGGUUUGCAUCACUAGAAAUUUUAGAAUGUUUUUGCAUGAUGACCCAGAAGCCAAGCACUCAAAACGCUUGGAGUCACAUUUGAAGUCACAUUUCUCCUUCUACACUAAAAUGGCCACCAGAGUGCUUAGGUGACAUAAAAGUCAAUGCAGAUUGCUCACAGGGAAAAACAACACAAAGGUAAGUUCAUGCGCAGCAUUUGGGGGGGAAUGUGUACUUUGUGGGGGAAUGUAUUUCCAUUUACUCUGCAGGCCUAUCACUCAGACCAGCAGAGUCUAUAUUUGUGACCAGAGCUUGUCAAAAACGAGGCACGUAGAGGUUAUGUACAUACAUUACAGUCUACAUCUGGAGAAGUGAACAGUGAAUGCCCGAUAUCACAGCAAAGGCUAUCACAGCGUUAGUUUCAUUUAUGAUUAGCAGUAAAUAACGUAAUAUGUACUUGAGUAAUAUAUUUGCUAUGGCAUAUCAGGGAAGCUAAUCUGAAUAGAUGUGGCUAUACCUGUAAAGUCAUACAUUCUGUAUACCUUAACUAUUCCAAGACCGUAUAUUCUGUUUACCACAAAAACAAUGCUUUAGUUGUAGAUCAAAAAAGAUUCAAACAACUUGUCAGGAAGAAGUUACCAGAGGAUUCUCUGCUGCUUAAACAUCACUAAAAUGGGGAGGCCAGUGGGUUCUUUCCAUAAGACAAUGCCUGCAAGGCUGAUGGUUUCUUCAAAAAAUCUAAAGACGAGCAACCCAGGAAUUCUUAAGACAUAUCUAGGAUACAAUGUGAAAAGUGCUUAGUUAGUGGAAGAGAGACAGAUCCAAGUAAGAUUAUGUGGAACAAAAAAACUCACUGAGAAGGAAUUUUGAACAAGCAGUUGCAUAUAAAGGCUGGGCUUUGGGGCAGGGUGUGGGAUGAAAAAGCUUCAGGCCAAGAUUGUCUGAUUUCUUCUUUAAUCAAGAAGUCUGUGACUGUAUAUUCUGUCAAAUAAAGAGAUGUGUGAACUAAACAUGUCUUCAUAUCCAAACGUUCAGCAUUGGCUAAUAGGGUCAACAGAAGCAGCAGUGUGUUUGUAUGAAAAUUAACUGAAAAAACACCAGCAGACAGAGCCAUAAAAUGCUGCAAAACUGGGAGUUCUGAAUUGCUCUUUAGUCUGAGGGUAAACCAAGAAAGAUUUGGCAGAUUUUUCUAAGGAAAAUGGGAAUUCCACUGGGAAGCUUAUAUUAAAAGUUAAUAUCUCAGCUCCUUCAAGAAGUCUGUCAGCCUGUCACUCACAGAAACCUUUACUAACAUUCCUUGUACACAUGGCCACCAGCUACACUCUGCUUAACUGUAGGCAAAGAAAUCUGUUGUUAUGAAUGGUUAGGGAAAGUGCAUUAAAGGGAUGCCAUCCAGAGGGACCUGGACAGGCUUGAAAAGUGAGCCCAUACAAACUGAAUGGGGUUCAUCAAAGCCUAGUGAAGGUAUUGUUGGGGCAAUGCUGGGUAUGUGUGCAGACUGGGAGAACUCCUAGAGAGCAGCUCUGCAGAGAAGGACUGGGGGGUCCUGGUCCUGGUGGAUGGAAAGCUGGACGCGAGCCAGCAGUGUGUGCUUGCAGCACAGAAGACCAACAGUAUCCGGGGCUGCAUCAACAGAGGGGUGGCAGAGAAGCAAGGGAGAAGACAGUCCUCCAGAUGGGACAGUGUCCAAGCCUGAGGCCCCCUGCACAGGUGGGAAGCAGAGCUGUUGCAGUGGGCCCAGAGGAAAGCCAUGAAGAUAUGCAGAGGGCUGGAGCACCUCUACUAUGAAGAAAAGCUGAGGGAGUUGGACUUGUUCAGCCUGGAGGACAGAAGGCUCUGAGGAGACCUCAUUGCAG
rnacentral:lncRNA from 1 species